UUGCCCAAUGAUUAUAGCAAGACGCGUUAUUAUGAGGACUAAUGCUGGAACUCUUCCUCCUUCUCCUCCUCCUUCUUUGUCCCUUCCACUUUGACCUUACCCCCCCUCACUUUCCUCAGGGUAUCCAGCGUCCUAUGAGCAAGACUGAGAUAUGAGGGCAA